rnacentral:rRNA from 1 species
UGGGGAAUAUUAGGCAAUGGGGGAAACCCUGACCUAGCAACGCCGCGUGAAGGAUGAAGGUUUUCGGAUUGUAAACUUCUUUUCUAUGGGAAGAAAAAAAUGACGGUACCAUAGGAAUAAGCCACGGCUAACUACGUGCCAGCAGCCGCGGUAAUACGUAGGUGGCAAGCGUUGUCCGGAAUUACUGGGUGUAAAGGGCGAGUAGGCGGGUGUACAAGUCAGAUGUGAAAUACCGAGGCUCAACUUCGGGGCUGCAUUUGAAACUGUAUAUCUUGAGUGAUGGAGAGGCAGGCGGAAUUCCCGGUGUAGCGGUGAAAUGCAUAGAGAUCGGGAGGAACACCAGUGGCGAAGGCGGCCUGCUGGACAUUAACUGACGCUGAGGCGCGAAAGUGUGGGGAGCAAACA